rnacentral:lncRNA from 1 species
GAAGAUGGUAUUGCCAUCACUAUCCGGCGUGUUGAGCAGCUGGGAGAUGUUGAGACUCUCUGUCAAGUACUUGACAGCUUCAUACUGGUUGUUCUUCAUUCCCAGGUGUAAAACAGUCUCACCAUGUUCGGUUCUCAUCUCUGCCGAUUGGAGACUGACAGAGAGGAUCUCGUCAACGAUGUUGACACGCCCUUUCAUGGCCGCCCAGUGGAGAGGUGUUCGACCAUCAUUGUCCUGUAAGGAAGUGAGGUCUGGGUCCAACCUCAGAAGUUCCCUUGUGAUCUCAAGGUGUGACCUUUGCUCCAAGCUAGGUGCAAGGGACUACAUCAUUGAGAACCCUUCUUCCAUGAAAAGUCUGGCCUUUCCCUUAUUGUCUCCUUAACUACAUCUGCAAAAUAGGUGGAUUUCUAGUGAUGUCAAUUGCAAUAAUUUGUGAUAAAACUAUAAAUUACUAUUAUUUCUAUUUUUUAAAAUAAAAAAUAAAAAAACUAUCCAAAUAAAAACGAGCACCUAGUAGUAGAUCGAGUUCAAAGACUCCUGAUCCGCCACAAUCAAGCUUGAUACUCACCUGUAUGGCCUCCUGAAGCUGCAGCAUGAAGUGAAAUGGUGGGAGCAUCCAAUUCCAGCAUCAACAGCCAUGAAUGGUUCACCAAAAGAUGCUUCACCACAUCAAGCUUCCCUCUCUCGCACCCCACAAACAGCACGCUCUCGUCGUUCCGGUUAACCUUUGGAGCAAUCCAUGGAUCUACCUCCAUCAAAAGCGCCACAAUCUCCACUCUCCCCUCUCUACAUGCUUCAUGCAAAGGAGUCUCCAGCUUUUCAUUCUCGGCCGACGCCAAUUCAGGCCUUAGAUUCACUAUCUCCGACGCCAAUUCCAAGUGCCCAAACCGCGCUGCUAAGUGUAAGACAGUGUUCAGGGAGCCGGAGACGACUUGUUUGAUGAUAUCUUCCUCUUCUUGAGCGAGAGAGAGGAAGGUUGAAACGUCGCCUUUGAGAACUGCCUCGACGAGGCGUCUGUCCAUAUGGGGCAGGGCCGGCUGUGAGGAAAGAAAAUAAUGGCGAAAUCAAUUGGAGUAGCAGGCAAUGGUUUGGUGGGGCAAGAAAUAAAGGAGAGAUUUUGAGGAGUGUUUCCUAAAUUUUGUCCUCCACCUGAUUUUUUUUAAAAAAAAAAACAUUUUUUAAAUUAAAAACGCUUCCUAAAAUCUAAUUAAUGCAAAAAAGUUUGCCAGCAACAUAGUUGCAAAAAUUACUCUGCCUCAUAGGGUGCCAUAUGGCUUUUAUGGAACCUUUAUACCAAUGCCCAAUCAAGCUUAGAAGUACAUUUUCUUUACUCCCCAAAAUUAUAAACCCAAGUUGGUUCAUCUUAGAAUGAUGGCUUGUAGAUUUGGCAUGAAUGUAGAUUGAUUUAUCUUCUUUCCCCUUUUUGGAUUGAAAUACAAUUUUGUGGAGUGGUAGUUGAAUGCUCCCAACAUGGGACUGUGAGCAGAGGAAGUGUAAAGAACUCUGGUUUGUGACUUUUCAUAUUGUUUUUCCCCCAAAGGCUUCAUAGUUGAGACUGACUGUUGCAGAAUUAUAUGUACAGUGUUUACAUAGGUUAUUAUUAUAUUUUGGUCAAGAGGGGCAAUAGUAGUAGAAAUAUGUUCGUUUUACCUUUUCAAAGGCUGUAUUCACGGGAAACAUAUGCUUGUUGGAGCUUGCAGGAGCUUGCAGAUGCCCAUCACAUGAUAUGUAAUAAUGUAGGUAUGGAGUGUCUGGUAAAAGCAAAGGCUACAUACUUCAAGAGCAACCGUUCAUCAUCUUUGUAAUGUAGCAUACGUCUAUUGUGCAGAAGCAAUAUAUGUAAUAAUGUAGGCAUGAAGGCGUCUGACAAAAGCACAGGCUACACACUUCAAGAGCAAUUGUUCAUCAUCUUUGUAAUAUAGUAUACCUCUAUCGUGCAGAAGCAAUAUUGAUGUUAAUUCAGUCACGCAUCAAACAGUUCAAUGCAAUCUACACCCUCCAAUAGCUGAAAGGCGUCUUCUUCAAGCACUUGUACUACAAGUUCCAUAAGUCUAUCCUAUAGGUAGCUUAGACCUUUCUAUCACCAAUGCAUGAAACAUGAGGCUCCAAUUUCUUGUUACAAGGGAGGAGGCCUUGUAUAAGUGACCUGAUUCAAUUAGAAAUUAAGCACAGCAGAAUAGGAGAUGGCUUCCUCUUCUUUUGCUUUACCACUACAUGGGUCUGUUGGUGAGCACUCUACCUCUCACAGAUAUCAUCCCAUCAAGUCCUCUCUCUCCUCUACUGUAAAGGUAUCUUAAUCUCCUUAGAAAAACACAAUGAAGUUUCAAGUUUUGUAUCUUUUAUUUGUCCUUGGCGGGUUGAAAGGACUAUUAACUUGGUUGAAAUAAUACUCUAUCAACAGCCUUUUAUGAAGGAUUUGCUGAAAACAUCAUUGAGAGCUGAUGUUUCCAAAACCAUCAAAAACACCUCUCAGAGGAUUUUGGAUGCAUUUGUGGAUUCUGUAUUUCAAUUUGUUGAUCAACCAUUACUCCCAUCUCAGGUAUAUUUGAGAGAUUCAUGUCUACUAUAUCAUCUGAAGUUUCAAUUGGAACAUAGAAUAUAUACAAGAAAGUAUAAUCUUGUAAGAAAGAUUUAAGUGCUUAUACUGAUGAAGGUUUUAGAAAAUUGUAUAUAUGCUACAGAAAAAUUUUGCACCAGUUGAAGAAAUUGGAGAAGAUGUUGAGGUAAUUUGCAAUGAAGGGAAUGUUCCAGCGGAUUUCCCUGAGGGUAUUUACAUAAGAAAUGGUAUAUGGUCUAUCACUUAGAUUGUUAUGUUAUCAUAAUUGCAUAUCCAUUAGUCUGUUUGGGAGUGAAGAUUGAUUCUAUGAUCCUACUUUCCAUGAGGGAUUCUCCAUCAAUGCUGAAUUAAACACAAUGCCACUUAACAAUCUCCAUUGAUGGAGCCUUUGUACUGUGACUGCAGGCCCAAAUCCUCUAUUUGGAGGUCUGAAAUCGACUGUUUCGGUUUUCGGAAGAACAAGCCAUAUAUGGAUAGAAGGAGAAGGAAUGCUUCACGCAUUAUACUUUAUGAAGAAUGCUCAUGGAGAUUGGUCCAUCUCCUAUAAAAACAGAUAUGUUGAAUCUGAAACAUUCAAAAUUGAGAAACAAGGAAACAAGCCAGCUUUCGUUCCUACAAUUGAAGGAGAUUCUCCAGCUAUCUUAGCAGCUGCUCUUCUGAACAUGGUAAAAUGAUGUUUUCCCUUUAGAUUUCACCUACUUAAAAAUAAGUUAGCAUUUCAUAAAUCAAACAUUAAAAAUAUUGGGAUUGUUGUAUGUUGAAUGAAUUCUAAGCAUGUUGUAAGUCAAUUCUCUGUUCAAUCUCAUAUUUUUCAGUUGAGAUUUGGCAUGGUCAGUAAGCAAAUCAGCAACACAAGCAUUUUUGAGCAUUCAGGGAAGUUCUAUGCUAGUGCAGAGAACCACCUGCCUCAAGAGAUUGACAUAUUUACUCUGGAGACAUUUGAUAAGGGGGAUGUUAAUGGAGCUUGGGAUCGAGCUUUCACUAGCCAUCCAAAGGUUCUUCCUCUAUAUAAUUAGAACUGGAUCCAUCAUCCAUGCUUAAGAUCAGGGAUUUUGAUUCUUACAUGAUUUACUCUUUUACAUGGAACAGAAAGAUCCAAGAAAUGGGGAACUAGUAAUAAUGGGGAUAGAUGCAGUAAAGCCCUUUUUUGUUGUUGGAGUUGUCUCUGGUAUACUAGAUUGAUUUAAUGAUGUUUUUGUCAGUUGAGUUCAAGCUUCAUAAAGCAUGGUUAAUAUUUUUGAAUGCUAACCAGAUUGAUUUUGAUUUGUUAUUUCAGAGGAUGGAAAGAAACUAUCCCAUAAGGUUGAUCUCAAGUUUGAUAGGGCUACUCUCAUCCAUGAAUUAGGGAUUACAGAGAAGUAAGUUCAUCUCAUCUUUGUACUUCUUGCCAGACCCUGGAUUUCUGUGUUUUAAUUCUCUGACUUGGUUUCCCAACUGGGUUGAACCUAAAAAUCUUCAUUAAGGGUCUCCAAAAGAGUCAUGUCUACCCCAUAGUAUUGUCAAGGAUAUUCAGGAUUUUUGAGACUUCCCUUCGAAUUCUUUAGUUGAAUGUUUUACCAUGAAGCAGUUCCCUAAGCUUGAAUAUGCAAACAUGUAAUAGGCUCUCUUUGCUGUUUUUUCUCUGAAUGGUUAUCAGGUACACUGUAAUCAUGGAUUUUCCCCUCACCAUAGACAUAAAUAGACUAAUCAAUGGAGGCCCGUGCGUAAAUAUCCUAAACCUACUGAUUUUUAUUUUUAUUUUUGUCUCAAAUAGCUGAAAAGCAUUUAAAGAUUUGAUAAUUUUAUGUAGAUUAAUUAAGUAUGACAAGGAAGGCUAUGCGAGGAUUGGUGUGAUGCCCCGCUAUGGCAAUGCAGAUUCAGUCCAGUGGUUUGAGGUAGAAAAGCAUUGCCUAUUCCAUAAUUUCAAUAGCUUUGAGGAUGGUAAUGAGGUAAUGUCCAAGAUCAAUGUCAUUCAACUUUAAUUACUUCUCCCUUUCCAUUUCCUGUCUCAUAUGGUUGGAAUUUAAACUUGAUUUUUCUUGCAAACAGGUUGUAAUAAGGGGAUGUAGAUCUCCUGCAGCCUUCAUACCAGGCCCUGAUAAUGGUCUAAAUAAAUUUGAGUGGUUCUCAAAGGGACUUAAACCUAUAGAGACAUUUAAAGAAAGUUCUACUGGUUCAACACAAGAGGGAUUCCUUUUUGCUCGAGUCUGUGAAUGGAGAUUAAACAUGGAAACUGGAGAGGUGAAGGAGAGAAACCUCACUGGCACUGACUUCCCCAUGGACUUCCCGAUGAUAAAUGAACAUUUCAGAGGUGUUAAACAAAAGUAUGGUUACACCCAAGUUCGCGAUUGCAUGGCAAGCUCUAGUUGUGGUAACAAAUCAUCAUCUUUAUGAUCUAGUUUCCUUACAGUUGACCAUGAAGAGUUGAUUUUCUUAUCAUAACUCUUAUUAGGGAUGAGUAAAUAUGGAAGUCUAGCAAAACUAUACUUUGAAGAAUCAGACUCCAAGCUAUCUGUGGUAAUGAACUAGUACUCCAUCCCCAUUAGGAAAACUAUUUCUUCAUGUAUAUAGAUAAAUAUAUUUAACAGGGCUUCUGCCUUACUAAACAGAAAGAGGGAAAGGGUGAGCAUCUAAUAAAGGUCGAGUACAAUAGGUUUGCAGAAAACAACUUCUGCUCUGGAAGUGUCUUUGUGCCUAAAGGUGGAAGUUCAGAAGAAGAUGAUAGUUGGAUUGUCUCUUUUGUUCAUAAUGAAGAUACGGAUGUUUCUCAGGUAUGAAGAUUUCUGAUUCAUAUGAUUUGUUGUGUUGGUACCGGUAUCCAUAUUUGUUAGGCUUUGUUAAAGGUAUUCCCUUCACAGGUUCAUAUCAUUGAUGCACAGAAGUUCAGCAGUAAGCCAAUUGCGAAAAUUACACUGCCACAAAGAGUACCGUAUGGUUUUCAUGGAAUUUUCAUAACAAUGCCCCAUCAAGCUUAAAAGUCCUGAGAUUGUGGCAAAAUUUUCUUCUCUUGGCAUGAUGGCCUACGUUUCUGAUCGAACUCUGAUUGUAUGUUUGGCCUGUGAUGGUAGCUGAAUGCUUCCAAUAAAGCUUGAGAUUGUAAUCUGAUUAUCCAUGGCCUUAAUCAAAACUACAGUAUCUACAGAACCAAAGGUAGCUGGGAUAUAUUGAACUUCAUGUACAUGUGAAAAAACUUAAGUACGGGAAAAAAAAAAAAGGGAAUAAGAAAAACAAAACAAAAAGUGAACUGUCAAGAAACACUUCUAGUCAAAUGUCCAUGAGAAGAUAAAAGUCUAAGACAUGAUCAAGCUUCCUAUUAAAUCUCGGAAAAGUGUCGGGAAAGAACCCUUCUACCAAACAGAGUCAAAUGGAGACUGGAACAAGAACUAUUAUCCUCAUGGACUUUAAGUCAUCAGUAGCUGCAAAAACUAUUCACCAAUCAUUUGGGCUUCCAUGAAUGCUGUAAUUGGAGGCUAGAAAGGUUGUUGCAGCUCCAAAGAAAUAGGAAACCCUUUUAAUUUAAAUACAAUCUCUAACUCAACAAAACCUCAAGUUCCUAUUUAAUUCUGCAAUUGCAGUUUCAGGCUCCAUCCUCUAAAAUUCUAGCCAGUUGUGGUCGAAAGUCGGUCCAACGAUGAUUCAAGGCCUUGUGUGAACUUACUUAUAGCUUUUGGCAAGUCAAUAUAUCCAUACUAGCCAUAAACAAUGACUCUGAAAGAUAGGGAGACAUGGGCUUUCUGUGGAAUAGUGCUCUGUUCUUCACCUACUCAGUUCUUCUCAGGUCUUUCUGGGGUUCUGUAAUCUGGGAUUUUCAUCUACAAGCUAAAAUCAGAAGGCCAAAUCCGGGUCCAUGCAUACAAUUUGAAAACGAAUUUGCAUAUAAAAACUGCUGCUCAACAAAGACAGCCCAACCUAGGAAUUAACUACAAAAGCAGACAUAUGGACCCAUUAUACGUAUAAAAACUGUUCAUUCGACUUGAGAAUGCCCAUAGCAUAUAAAAACUGCAGCUCAACAAAGACAGCCCAGCCUAGGAAUAAACUACCAAAACAAACAGAGGACCCACUAUACCCAUAAAAAAAAUGGUUAGACAUAUAAUAUAGUCACAGGGAAGACACUGAAUCUUAUGAACAACUUUGAAUCCUGCAGAUUCUAUGCCAAAUUUUUUGGCUUAGGAAUCUGGAAGAAUUCUGAUAGGUUUUGACAACACCAUGUGUGCUCAUCUCCCCAUGAAUCAAUUGGGUCUGGUCAUCAGAGUUCUUCUCUUGUUUCACCGUGUCAAAGCCCAGGACACUUCUGAUUCUGAUCACUCUGGUCCACAUUUCCUGCAGCCCCACCUAAUGGUUGUUGUUGGGGUCCUCUCAAUAAUGUUCUGUCUAACAUUUCUCUUACUUGCUUAUGCAAAAUUCUGUCAUGUAGCCGUGCCUGAUUUCUCAGACUUUGAUAACCAUCAACAAAACCUUCAUGGGCUUGAUAGAGAAAGGCUGAGAUCCUCUGGGAUAGAUAAAAGAGUGAUGGAGUCGCUCCCCUUUUUCAGGUUUUCUUCACUCAAGGGAUCAAAAGAAGGCCUAGAGUGUGCAGUUUGCUUAUCAAAGUUUGAAGAAAUUGAAGUUCUUCGGUUGUUGCCGAAUUGCAGGCAUGCAUUCCACAUAAACUGCAUUGAUCAAUGGCUAGAAAGCCACUCUAGCUGUCCUCUUUGCAGGUACAAGUUUGAUGCCCAGGACCUUACAAAUUUUUCCUAUUCAAACAGCUUGAGAUUCCCACAAAACCCUUUGAAUCUAGCUGAGGACUCAACUAUCAACCUUUUUGUCCAGAGGGAGCAAGAUGAUCAAGGGUCAUCAAGGUUUAGUAUUGGAAGCAGCUUCCAAAAAGCCAUGAAUAAGGGCAAAAAGGAAGAAUUUCUCAUUCAAGAAGGUGAAAGUAGUAAUGGUGAUUAUCACAAACUCUGGCAUAAGGUCAAUCACAAGAUCAUCUUCUCCAAUAUGAUUUUUAAGAAUCGAUGGAGUGAUGCAAAUUCUUCAGACUUUAUGUUCCUGAAUUCUGAGAUGAAUGAAACCUCUCCAAACAACAGGUUCCCUUCUUUGGAGUCUAAUAAUAAUGGUUUUUCCAUGAAUAAACAGGUUGUUAUAAAGAUGCAGGAGGGUGUAGACAAGAAAAUAGUGCAUGAAUCCAACUUCACUAGGAUUAGCAGAAGUAAUUCAGUUUGUAAUUCCACCCAUGAAGCAAGCACGUCAAGACUAUUGAAUCCUGAUCUGAAGAGAUCCAUGUCUGAGCUCACAAACCUUUCAAGGUUCACAGAAUUGAAUACAAAGGACAGAGUCAAAGAACUUUCCUUUGGAAGAAAUAAUGCAGAAGAAGAGAGGACAAGGAAGCUUUGGUUGACUAGAACUCAUCGGACAGUUCAAUGGUUUGCCGGUCGCGAAGAAAUUCCCAAGAACCAGAGUGCGAAAAAGUACCCAUUCAACAUCUAAACCAGUUGGUAUGUGUUAAAUUUUCCAUAGAAUUGGCAAAUACCAUAUAGUAUCAAAUUAAAUUAUUCAUUCAUAUCAUCACUAGACCUUAUUUGUAAGAUAAUUAAUAGUUAAGACUUCUUCAUAAUCAUGGAAUCAACAAAAACCCUGUCCAAUGCUGGCUCUGUGAACUGGCCUGACAAAUUUCUAAUAAUCUCCUAACUGGGGAACUCUUAGGAAUAAAUCAAGUUUAGAUGAUGCUUGUGUUCAUAAAUUAUAUACCAUUACUUCAAUUCAUUUCAAUAUUGUAAUGGGUCUUGUCUUAUUAGCUAAGCUUUUUUUUUCAUUGUCUUUAGUGGCCGGGACCAAUGAAUUAACCAUCCUUAAAGUAUACAAUUUGUUUAUUAAAUUUGACUUGGUAUUGUAAUUGAUAUAUCCAACAAAUUGCACUAGCCAUGGAUUACAAACAACCACGUCUGAAUCAUGAAUCUGAAGACCUAUUCUGGCAUCAUCUUGAAGAAAAUUUGGAUGACCUAGUUUAAUUAAAACCAUAAGAACUGAAAACAACUAAUGAUGGAAAGUUCAGAAUGCAUGUUGUACAAUAUGUUACACCAACAUCUCCCAUAUGAUCUAUCUAUAUUAGAGAGGUGCUAAUUCUAUAAGAAUGAAGGUUAUAGUCGAAUCAUGAUUAGGCCUGAAACUGCAGAAAUUGCUAAUAGAGGUGGUAACCCCCUUUCUCAGAGCUAUCAACGUCGGAGUUACUAGUCGAAUCAUGAUCACCCCUCUUGAUCGUUUGCAUCUCUCCUACACGACUAUUCAUACUACUAUGGGGGCUUCCAUCCUUGUUCUUUCUUUUGGUUUUCUUCCAUUCCCAUUUUCUAAGCCAAUGCUGUAUUAGCAAAACUCCUAGGCCUACACAUAUGGUCAUUGUGCACCCACCCCCUAUGGAAACCAAUGUCACCAACACCCACUUGGUACUCGGUCCUCCUGGCAGAAUUGUCCAUGUCGCAGCUAUAUAAGCCGCCGCCAUAAAAGUCACCGACAUCCACAUCACCUUAUGAGUUGAAAUCAAGAGCUUCAUCAUGGAUUUCCGCCGGAAAGGGAUGAUGCUGACAAGAACGAUGACUAUGCCUAGGGACAGGAACAAUGCUAGAAUGUUGCAUACCAUGAAUACCUUGAAAGGAGUCUUUUUACCCAUUAUGGCCUUGCCGGAGCUCUGGUUGAAGCCACCGGGGGGGUUUACGCCUGCAGAGAAUGUCACAGUUGCUAUUAAGACAGCCACAACUGUGAUAGUGUUUCUAGCAUUGCGGAGACCCUCGGUCUGUUGCUCAAGCUGCUUUUCCCGGCGCCUCUGGUGCUUGCGACGGUGAUGCUUGGCUGGAGAUUCCGGGGGCCUUUUUGGCCAUGGAGGUGGUAAAUUUGGGCUGGUGGGGUAUAAUCUUCCUGACGAGGGUUCAGUAAUGGUUUGAAUUUCUUGAGAAACCGGCGGUAAUUGGUCACACCUCUUAGCUCCCGCUUCCAGUAAUGCAGGCACAACCACAAGCGAGCCAGAGUUACUGGCAUCCGUUUCAACUACAUCUAGAGGGGUGUAACCCUUGCGGUUUAGAGCAUUUACAUUGACACCCAGCUUGAGAAGAUAGAGGACCGUCUAAUCUCAAGCCAAAGACAAAGUUAGAAUUGGCAAAAGUACGUAGGUCAAUAUAAACAUACAGUAUGAUAUAUAAUUAACUUACAGUGGUGAGUUUUCCGGCAGUGGCGAGAUGCAAGAUGGUAUUGCCAUCACUAUCCGGCGUGUUGAGGAGCUGGGAGAUGUUGAGAGUCUCUGUCAAGUACUUGACAGCUUCAUACUGGUUGUUCUUCACUGCCAGGUGUAAAACAGUCUCACCAUGUUCGGUUCUCAUCUCUGCUGAUUGGAGACUGACAGAGAGGAUCUCGUCAAUGAUGUUGACACGCCCUUUCAUGGCCGCCCAGUGGAGAGGUGUUCGACCAUCAUUGUCCUGUAAGGAAGUGAGGUCUGGGUCUAACCUCAGAAGCUCCCUUGUGAUCUCAAGGUGACCUUUGCUGCAAGCUAGGUGCAAGGGAGUACAUCCUUGAGAAUCCUUCUUCCAUGAAAAGUCUGGCCUUUCCCUUAUUAUCUCCUUAACUACAUCUGCAAAAUAGGUAGAUUUCUAGUGGUGUCAAUUGCAAUAAUUUGUGACAA